CCCUUAGAUGUUCUGGGCCGCACGCGCGCUACACUGAUGCAUUCAACGAGUCUAAAACCUGCUCUGAUAGGGGUGGGUAAUCUUUUGAAUGUGCAUCGUGAUUGGGAUAGAUGAUUGCAAUUUUUCAUCUUCAACGAGGAAUGCCUAGUAAACGCAAGUCAUCAGCUUGCAUUGAUUACGUCCCUGCCCUUUGUACACACCGCCCAUCGCUACGACCGACUGUUUCUGUCAAUGAAGCUGUAGGAUUUGGUCCUGGCCGGGCUUCACGGCCUGGCUGCGGCACUGGAGAUCACAGUUUAGUUGAUACGAAAUACAGGACGUAAAAGUCGUAACA
rnacentral:rRNA from 1 species